GGGUACGUAGCUCAGUGGUAGAGCACCUGGCUAGCAUGCACAAGACCCUGGGUUUGAUCCCCAGCACACCCA
rnacentral:tRNA from 1 species